ensembl:lncRNA
ACACACACACACACACACACACACACACACACACACACACACACACACACACACACACACACACACACACACACACACACACACACACACACACCAGUAUUUGACCUGAUAUGACUCUCAGCAGCCCUCUUAGGGAAUAGUUUUAAAGCAAAAAUUAAUAAUGAUCAGGGCGAUGUUCAAUAAGCGUCCUUAAGCUAAUUUAAGAAAUUAAUGAGCAUGUUAUGGUUCCCCGAGGCGUAAAGGUUUAGCACAGAACAGUCAUGAGCUCUAUGUACGCGUGUAUAAUCCCUCAGUAUGCUGUGUCCAUAUGGAUUAUGAAACACUGUGAUGGCUUUUCACUUCCUUGUUGGGAGCAAGAGGAGCGCUGUGGCUCUGAGGUAAACGGACAGAUGGAGCAUCUUCACAUUAACAGUUGAUUGGUCUCAUCACUUUUCCAUCCUUAAGAUUUUAUUUCUCAUGUGUUUGUGUGAAUAAGGUGUUUACAGGGUUAAAUGAUUAUGAUAAAUGACCCGCACUUGUACAGCGCCUCUCAGAGUAAGGACUCCAAAGCGCUUUACACCGCAGUAUAUCAUUCAUCCAUUCACACACAUUCACACACUGAUGGUGACGAGCUACGAUGUAGCCACAGCUGCCCUGGGGCCACUGACAAAGAUCCAAAGGGGAAAAGUCAACGGGUUUCAUUCAUUGAAGACAACGUGUGACUUAUUUUGAUCCCAGUUGACCAACUCAGCUCCCCUCCACACACGUCUGGGUCAUUUGGGCAGCAAACCAACAUGGCUUGUUACGCACUUCCUGUAUAUUAUCAUGUAUGUUACCAGUUGAGCCAGUGUUCCACUGGUUGGUCUCGAGCACUGUAAAUGUUCACUGUGAGGUUUCUCAUUAUUUCUUCUCAGAAGAUGACAUUUCUGAGUAUGGAAUUAUCUGGAAUGAACCAGGAAAACCAAACCUGAACACACCAGUCAGAGUCGCACCGAUUUAUGACCUUUCUCCAGAUGGUCCGACGCAAACAAAAGCAUCGUCACAUGGCCUCAGCCUGCACCGCAGCACGACUGUAAACACUACAAAAGGCUCAACCCUACCACCUGCCUGUCUAUGUAAAUCCCACCGCUUUCCCCGAUCAACACCAGGAACACGACUUGCUGCGUGUGAGCUACCGCUCGGUCGGGGGAGAAAGAGGGAACGAGGGAGAGGAGAACAUAUUGCUUCUCCGUACAGCAACUGUGGUGCAAUAUGUGCAGGCUGGCAUUUAUGACGGCGGAGAACGCCGACUUCACAGCAGGCGGCGAUGGUAAUAACGUUGUGUUGACAUUAGCCCAGGUGAGAAUAUGCCAGCACUGAAUCAUCGCCACCUAAUUGCCACUUCUAUUGUUGUGUAAUUAAUGCUUAAUUAGGAGACUUGCUUCAAUCAGCCAUGAGGUUGUUGAGAGAGAUGUCACACAUGCUAUGAACAAAUGUUCCUGCUAUAGGCAUGCUAAUGUAACUGUCUCUCUCUCCCUGUGCCCUCUCUCUUUCCUGAUGACAUCAAGCAGGAAGUGUGAGUGCAGCGAGGCGUUUUUCUAUGCGUGCUAAAGGUUUCUGUCUUCUCGUUGUGUUGCCUUGUCUCUGCUUCUCGUUCGUCUGAAGCUAGUUCGGAUAGGCUCCACUGUGUUGCCGGGGUUUUCCAGACUAGAGUGUGAGAGGGGGAGAGUAAAAGGAUGAAUGGAUGGGGGUACUGCCAUCCGACAAAGUGCAGCGUUUUCGUAUAUUUACGGAGAAGAAAAGUGCUGUUGGGGGAGGAAAGCCAGUGAGAGGAAGAUAACAUGGAGCGUGCAGCUGGAAGAGGCAGAAAGGAGUGGAGGCGUGAAAUUGGUGCUGCAUCAUCCACCACACUCAGACGCCCCUUGGUCUAAGCCCACUGCCUGCUCGCAGCGCUCCGCCGGGGCCACGCCUGAACACAUGCAUGUAUAUAAUGUAUGUACACAUAUACUGUAUGUCUGCACUCCCUAAAGCUCUGAGGCUGUGGUCAGAAUGAGGGAUGAAAAGAAAAAGGUGGCCGUCUGGUUUAAAGGGUACAUAUUGUGCAAACCUCACUUUUAGCAUCUUUUUGUGAGGCCAUGUGGGUCUCUAGUGCCUCCACAAAAGCUCCAAACACAAAUAAAGAACUAUCCAUUCAUUUUAAGUCAGAGUUUGUUUUUCAGGAAAAAUGUCUUCAUGUGAGCUGUUUGGAAGUUUGCUUGUUGUGAUGUCACAACAAGGGAAAUGCACAGACCCCCCCCCCCCCACACACACACACACACACACACACACACACUGUUGAUGCUGGAGGAGCAGCAGCUCUACUCUGAUGGGUGGGCGUGGCCUGCAUCUGCUUGUUGUGCUUAACUCAUUCACUGCCAUUGACGACUAAAUUCGUCAUUUUAAAUCCAACCGUUCCCUUCCCAAGGUUCUUCUCUGCCAAGCUGCUGCUAUCUAGUCUUUUCUUCACAGAAUAAAGAAUGAACUUUUAUAAUAAUGAACCGUUAUAAAUAAUGAUGACAUGAAAUGAACAAUAUGGUUAGAUGAAUGACUUAAAUAAUCAUAUAAUGAAUGGACGAGGUGUUAAAUGAAACGUUUUGAUUAAUCUGUGCCUAAAUCAAUACGGCUGAAAUGAAUGUGUCCUUGCAUUAUCCAUUUGUCUGAUAAUCAGCGUACGUGACUUGACGAGUUCACACACUCAUUCACACGUGCAUAUCACAAGGCUAAAGUUAACGUCAUUGCACAUAAAGUUUUCUUAUCCACAAUUCAGAGCAUCUUGUAUCUGAAGGAGGGGUGUUCUGAGGUGUGUUUGGUAAAACCCUCUUGACAUGGCAUGUUGUGAUUUGCCAGAAAUCAUAACAUAGGAAUAAUAAAACGUAGAUCACAUCCCAAGUUAUUCAGUUCGUUGAAGUUCAUCAAGUCGAGUUGAGUUUGUUUCCAGCUGAGACUCCGGAGUGGCCAACCUGGGACCAGCCUCUUUGAAACAUCUCUCUGACAUAGUCAGAACCUUUUUGCAUGCUGCAAAGCUGACACAGCAAGACUCCUCAAGAGUCCGUUGGGCACGCAAAACAAGUCCACCUGUUGUUGUGGCCUGGAGACAUCUCUGGAACGGGCCACCUGCGACCUGCGGACCUCGGUGCCUUGAGGUCCACUGGACUUCCUGACCUUCCGGAUCUACCACGGGGGUCUCCGAUAAGAGUACGCAGGCACAGCAAGGUUGCGUCUGAUGUUGUUUUAUUAAUAAUCAACUUUCUAGUUUAUAGCAGACCAAAUUCUUUCACACCUAAGAACUCACAGUCUCCUUCAGACACAAAGGUUCUGAUCACACAUCACAACACACAUUCCAUUCACACAUUCAUCCAUCACACAUCGUUUUCAUAACUUGUCUUGUUUAUAAUUAGUCUAGAAAAUAAAGUUUAUUUUAAUUAUAUACUUGACUCCGUCUGAAUUAACUCAUUCACUGCCAUUGACAACUAAAGACGUCAUUUGCAUUUUUUUUUACUGUGUGGGCAUCGGAACGAGCCCCCGCACCAUGAGAUCAAACAUCUCAGCUCUAAAGCUGAUCUUCAUCGGCGUAUGUCACACGUCAUGUGAUCUGGAAGCAGAAAAUCCACGUGUUAGGAGAUCGUUUUGGGCCGCUGCUGUAAAUAAAGUGAGGCACAAACUGGAAAAGCUUCUGCCGAUCACAAUUCGACAACGGAUUAUGAAAGAACGGAUAAAGCUCGAAACGCGCAGAUUCUUCCUGAUGUAAGAGGUGCGUCUCCGCUUUGUUUUGGUAGUUUUGGUGUCGACGUCAUCCUAGCGCGCAACGUGCUGUGACUCUUAAAAAAACAGUGAAAAUGCUGAAAAACGCUUGCAGUGAAUGAGUUAAUACGAAGAGUGUUUAUGGUCACUGAAUAAGCAAAG